ACCUAGGGUUAAUGAGAUGAACAUAUGAUCUUAUCAGAUGACCAAGCAGAACGCUAAAAGUAUCCUAUCAGAGUGGCCGCAGUUAACUUCUCUUAAUUUAUGUGUUUAUGUGUUAAUUAUUAGAAUUAGGAUUUAUUCAAUUAUUCUUGUUAAAUGGAUUAAUACAAUUACGUAAUAACUUUUGUAAAAUGGAUUAAAUACCGGAUUUGUUUGUAAUUUGAUUUAAAGUGGCAAUGUUUUGGAUAUAACAAUUGCCUUCUGCUUUUGAUUUGAUUAUCCAUUUAUAUUUUCCACAUGGAUUGCUACAAGAAUGGGCAAAGUGUUCAGUUCCAGUAGGGAAUUUCACUUUUCAAGAAGCCCAACAGUCGCUAUAACCAGUACAGUAGGUACUGAGGCGUACUGCGACGACCCCAGAGUUUGCGGACAGUAGGUCCAAUAUUAACUCUGCAACAGAUUAGGAAAAUCUGUUUCGUCAUCAUGGAAUGAUGGACAACAGUAUGAAGCCUUGGCCAUCUGCAACACAGAUGAUUGACCUUCCAAGUUUUAUGCUACAACUACUACUACAACAACAAAGACAAUAUUGCUUUAACUUGAAGUUAACAAGACAUAAAAUUAAUAAUAUACUAUUUAACAAUUUAAUUUCUUGAGCCGCGAACAUACCAAAUUCAUGUUUCUUAGGCCAACGAAAUGCACAUGUCACAGCUUAUAAUUUAUAAGACUCUUAUUCUAUUAGUGAAAAAGAUCUGCAGUAUCUCACUGUUUUAAAUCUUACUUGAUAUAAGAAAA